rnacentral:rRNA from 1 species
AUUGUACGCUGGCGGCAGGCUUAACACAUGCAAGUCGAGCGGAGAGAGGUAGCUUGCCACUGAUCUUAGCGGCGGACGGGUGAGUAAUGCUUAGGAAUCUGCCUAUUAGUGGGGGACAACAUUUCGAAAGGAAUGCUAAUACCACAUACGUCCUACGGGAGAAAGCAGGGGAUCUUCGGACCUUGCGCUAAUAGAUGAGCCUAAGUCGGAUUAGCUAGUUGGUGGGGUAAAGGCCUACCAAGGCGACGAUCUGUAGCGGGUCUGAGAGGAUGAUCCGCCACACUGGGACUGAGACACGGCCCAGACUCCUACGGGAGGCAGCAGUGGGGAAUAUUGGACAAUGGGCGCAAGCCUGAUCCAGCCAUGCCGCGUGUGUGAAGAAGGCCUUAUGGUUGUAAAGCACUUUAAGCGAGGAGGAGGCUACUUUAGUUAAUACCUAGAGAUAGUGGACGUUACUCGCAGAAUAAGCACCGGCUAACUCUGUGCCAGCCGCCGCCGUAACAC